GAUGAACGCUGGCGGCGUGCCUAAUACAUGCAAGUCGAGCGAACGGACGAGAAGCUUGCUUCUCUGAUGUUAGCGGCGGACGGGUGAGUAACACGUGGAUAACCUACCUAUAAGACUGGGAUAACUUCGGGAAACCGGAGCUAAUACCGGAUAACAUUAUGAACCGCAUGGUUCAAAAGUGAAAGACGGUCUUUCUGUCACUUAUAGAUGGAUCCGCGCUGCAUUAGCUAGUUGGUAAGGUAACGGCUUACCAAGGCAACGAUGCAUAGCCGACCUGAGAGGGUGAUCGGCCACACUGGAACUGAGACACGGUCCAGACUCCUACGGGAGGCAGCAGUAGGGAAUCUUCCGCAAUGGGCGAAAGCCUGACGGAGCAACGCCGCGUGAGUGAUGAAGGUCUUCGGAUCGUAAAACUCUGUUAUUAGGGAAGAACAUAUGUGUAAGUAACUGUGCACGUCUUGACGGUACCUAAUCAGAAAGCCACGGCUAACUACGUG
rnacentral:rRNA from 1 species